AGAGUUUGAUCAUGGCUCAGAACGAACGCUGGCGGCAUGCCUAACACAUGCAAGUCGAACGGGAUCCAUCCUUCGGGAUGGUGAGAGUGGCGGACGGGUGAGUAACGCGUGGGAACCUGCCCAGUGGUGGGGGAUAACUGCGGGAAACUGCAGCUAAUACCGCAUGAGCCCGAGAGGGGAAAGAUUUAUCGCCAUUGGAGGGGCCCGCGUUCGAUUAGGUAGUUGGUGAGGUAAUGGCUCACCAAGCCGACGAUCGAUAGCUGGUCUGAGAGGAUGAUCAGCCACACUGGGACUGAGAUACGGCCCAGACUCCUACGGGAGGCAGCAGUGGGGAAUAUUGGACAAUGGGGGCAACCCUGAUCCAGCAAUGCCGCGUGAGUGAUGAAGGCCUUCGGGUUGUAAAGCUCUUUUGCCAGGGACGAUGAUGACGGUACCUGGAGAAUAAGCCCCGGCUAACUUCGUGCCAGCAGCCGCGGUAAUACGAAGGGGGCAAGCGUUGUUCGGAAUUACUGGGCGUAAAGGGCGCGUAGGCGGCUUAUCAAGUCAGGCGUGAAAUUCCCGGGCUCAACCUGGGGGCUGCGCUUGAUACUGAUGAGCUUGAAUGCGGGAGAGGAUAGUGGAAUUCCCAGUGUAGAGGUGAAAUUCGUAGAUAUUGGGAAGAACACCAGUGGCGAAGGCGGCUAUCUGGCCCGUAAUUGACGCUGAGGCGCGAAAGCGUGGGGAGCAAACAGGAUUAGAUACCCCGGUAGUCC
rnacentral:rRNA from 1 species